UCACAAUGAUGAAUGGUCCAAACAUUCGCGGUUUCCACCAGAACUAAACACUGUUGGCAAUUACCUUCCUUGGAUGUCUGAGUGA
ensembl:snoRNA SNORD14 Small nucleolar RNA SNORD14